CGUUGCGUUAGGAGCACGUAUAUCGCACGUUUGGUUUACUAACAGUCUUCAUUGGUUUGAUUUCUCCGGCAAAACCUAAAUCGAAUGAAAUUGUACGGGAGGAAUUGAAUUCCGGCGACGAUGUGUAACGAGUAUAAAACCGCCACCGAUUCUCUCGGAGUAGAAAACGAGACUAACCAACGAAACUAAAGAGAGCGAGGUACGAAAAGUGCAAGAGUAGCAGCUGUAGGGCCGCCGUAGGAGCAUCGAGGCGUGUAGCGUCAGCAGGUGCACUACGUGAGAUGCUCGAGGAUGUUUUCGACAAUGUCCGAUACGUACUGGCAAUCGGUGCAACGAGGGGAAUUUCUAUGUAAUCGAUUGGAAACAUGGAGCUAAAACAAUGCCAAAAAAAAAGCAUAUGAACAAAUAAAUAAAGCUCGAGGAUUAAAUAACUGAAUAAAUGUCGCGUUGAGUAA